CUACCAUUAUUGGCAAUUGGCUAAUCUCUUUAAUUGCCAUGUUUGUAGAAAUGCGAAGCAGAGGUGCCAAGCUCUUGAGAGAAGCAACUAUAGGAGUCAAAGAACAGUAGAUCUGAAUCAUGAGGGUCCUGGGAACCCAUGCUUGUGGCCCCAGUGAUUUUGCUGGGAUCUUGCUAUGCCCAGAGGGAAUUCAUGUUCAUGUUCCUCAAACACUUUAUGCUUCCAAGAGCCCCUGGGUGUAUGGACAGACUUGCAGUGGGGGAGUGGUGUAAGUCGUACUAUUAGCUUGAACAGUAUCUUUUUAUGUCUGCUAGAAAAUACCAGUUUUUCAACUUACAGGAAAGGGAAUCCAUGAGUGGGGCCCCUAUGAGUUCUUUUCAAGGAAAUAUGGUCUCUUGAGAAGGUGAUAAAUGGUGUGACACACUUCAUCUUUAUGCAGCUAGAUUAGCAAGGAAAUAGUGGGAUUAGUUUUGUUUCUCUGGAAGAAAUGGGGGCAGGGCAGGGCAGGGGGGAAGUGGUUUGUAACUUUGAAUGAUCUUAUCUGUGCUAUACUUUUGUCUGCUUUCCUCUGGUCACUGAAUUUGUUCUUGGAGCUUUCUGUGGCUCAUACUUUAUCCUUACUUUCUUCUUUAUCCUUCCUCCCUAAGACUCUUCUUUCCUGGUUCUUUUCCUGGUCCUUUUCAUCAAGAGGAUGACCUGUGUUAUCUUGACAGUUAUACCCUCGUAAGACUGAGGUCACCUAGAAGUUCAGUGUCUUUUAUGGUUUAAGUUUUGGAAUGACAUGCUUACUUGCUUAGGAUGACUCAGCAGAGCCAAGGACCACUAGAGAUCUUGACACUUUUUUGAGUCUUUAAACUCAAGAUAAUGAUAAUUUCUGCAAAUCAGAAAUUGCCCUAAGAUGCCGUUUAGUUAAUUUAUAUGCAUUUUACAUAUCCACAUAUAUUACUACCAAAAAGGGUUUGCAUCAUUAGUGCCGACAUAUACAAACAAACUUGCUUUGUUACUUAGAGCAUAUUCCUGAUUUCUGAGGAACAAUGGGAGACAUGACCCUAGAUUAAUUAAGUUAAGAUAUUAAUAUUUAUAUUUAAUUAACCUAAUGAAGAUAUUAUUAAUAAUUAAUAUUCAGAGACAACAUUUCUUCCUGUGGUGAGAGGGAGCAAGAUACAAAGUAGAUUGAAGAGAAAGACAAAGGAAGUGGUAGACCUAACUGAACUAGAGUCAGUGAUCAAUUAGAAUGCUUUUAGACUCAGUAGUCUGUGGAGUGAGUGUGUUGAAUAUAAAUGAUCUAAAUAUCUGUUUACUCUGGAGUCAGUGGGUGCCCUCCUCUGCUGGUGCGAUUUGAAAGCAGACUGUCUUGGCUUUGCCACCUACACUUAAUAACUUUGGGCAAGGUGCCUAAUUUCUCUGAGACGGAUUCUUUGUCUUUUCUUGAAGAUAACAUAUCUCUUGUGGGCCUGUUGGAAGGAUCUGGUAUGUUGUAGGCAUUCAAUGUCCAGAAAGAGGGGAACAGACCAACUUCCUUGAUGUUGAUUUUUGAGGUUUUGGUGUUACUAUUCUAGAAUUUCCAUGUGUGACUAGAAGAACUCAUGCCCAUUUGGUUAUGAAGGUGUAGGGAUAAUAUUUCACUAGAAAUGGGUAUGAGGCCCACGAGGUUACCCCUAGCGGUAGCUUUUCGUGGCCAUGUCACAUGGGUAGAGCCUUAAGUGGUUGGUUUCUCUUUCCUGUUAUUAGGAAGUAGUGUUCUGUGACUAGUUGAAAGCCUCCCACUCUGCCAAGCUUCUGUUGCUCUAGAUUGGCCCAAAGACAAAUAGUCUCCCUACCCUUGCUGGCUGUCCCCUUGUUCUGGAAUGUUCUUUACUCACAUUGCCCAUUCUGGACAUUUGUUAAGAUCCAGCUGAAAUGUCACCUCCUCAGGUGAAGACUGGAGAAGACUACUCCUUUCCUCUUCCACAGAAGCAGCCGGCUUUCUUCCUUUCCUUCCUUUCUUUCUUCUCUCCUAAAUUAACAACUUUGCUGAGGUAUAAUUUACGUACCUCAAAAGUGAAGCAUGUGAUUCAGGUGUCUAGUUCACACACCAUACAACACCAAAUUCACCCAUUCUGAACGUACAAUUCAUUGAUUUUUAGUAUGUCUGUAGAGUUGUGCAACUAUGACCCCCAUCUAAUUUAGAAUAUUUUUUUAAGAUUACUUAUUUAUUAAUUUGACAACACACGCACGAGAGAGAGAGUGAGAGUGAGAGAGCACACGCGUGCACACACGUGCACACACACAAGCAGGGGGAGGGGCCGAGGGAGAAGCAGACUCCCCACUGAGCAGGGAACCCAAUAUGGGGCUCAUUCCCUGAAGACAAACACUUAACCAACUGAGCCACCCAGGUGCCGACAAAUUUAGGAUAUGUUUAUCACCUCCAAAAGAAACCUCCUGUCCUUUACAGCCACUUUUUAUUUCCACACCCAAACCUCACCUUCCUAUCUGUAUGGAUAUGCCUUUUCUGGACAUUAUAUAUAAAUCAAAUUAUAUAUAUAUAUUUUCACAUCUGGUGCUUUUGCUUUGUGUGAUAUUCUUGCGGAUUAUUCACAUUCUAGCAUGAAUCAGUACUUCACUCCUUUACAUGGCCGACCUCCUCUUCCAUCGAAUAGCUGUUAACAUCUUGUUUAUUGAUCCGUUGAUAGACUUCUGGGUUAUUUCUGCUUUUUGGCCAUUAAAAAUGCUCCUGUGAACAUUCCUGAGCAAGUCUUUGUAUAGACACAUGUUCUCUUUUCUCCUGGGGGAGAUCCCAGAAGUGAAAUCGCUGGUCCAUGUGGUAACUCCAUAUUUCACAUUUUGAAGAUCUGCCCAGCUGGUUUCCAAAGCAGGUGCUACAUUGUACAUUCCCACCAGCCGUCUGUGAGGGUCCCAUUACUCCCUAUCCUCCCCAAGCCUUGUUACUGCCUGCUGUUUUAUUUACACCAUGGUAGCAGCUGUAAAAGUAUAGCUGUGCUUUAGAUUUGCAUUUCUCUAAUGAACAACGAUGUUACCAUCUUUUCACAUACUUGCUAGCUUUGGUAUUCUCUUCUUCCGAGAGGACAAACUGCCUAUUUUACCCUGUUUCUUUGAACCUUAGUAUUCUUGCAACCCUGUUUAUAGAUGAGUUUAUAGAUGAGAACACCUAGGUAUGGAGAAUUUGGAGUACUUACCCAAGGACACCCAGUUCAUAGGCGCCCCAGUCAAGAUGAUUAAAUUUCUUUUGAACGUGGAGUGGAUUGAGAGAUGAGAUUGUCGAACACUGAAUUAAGAACCCACUGCAUGGCCCAAAUGUUAAGGUUUUUGCCUCUUGAAUCCUCUGACUAAGCAACUGGCUAAGACUUAUUUAAAAAAUAAAUAAGAUGGGGCAUCUGGCUGGCUCAGUCGCUGUAGCACGCGACUCUUGAUCUCUGUCUGGGUGGUGAGUUCCAGCCCCAUGUUGGGUGUAGAGAUUGCUUAAGUAAAUAAGCUUUAAAGAAAAUCUUUUAAAAAUAAAUAAAGCAGCCCACGUAAACAAGACGCAAUUACUGUGACAGAACCAUUUUUCUCUGGGUUUAUGCAAACCAUGAUUCCUCCUCUUUUUAAGAAGCAAAUGGCUCCGGUUCCCUCCUUUCCGAUAAAAUAAAAUAAAAAAUAUUUUAGCCCUCAUCCUUAUUGUCCCUGUUCUUUAUAAGGAAGGGUUUGUGCUGGAGUCCUCGUUGGUGUUUCUGCAGCUUUUACUUUUUGUUCCUUCCCUUUCUCGAGAGGUGCCCCAUGGCUGUGGUCUCCAUUUGGGGGGGCUAUGCACUGGUCUGUGCUAGCUGCGUUAGGACAGCUGGGCCUUAAGGAGGGAGGCUGUUUCAGUGCACCUCAGUGUGCUGCUCCAAAUGCUAAGUCUUGGGUUACUGAGCUUGAGAAAUUCAGGGCAGUGUCUCACAGGGUUUCGCAACCAUUUCUUUCUUUCUUUUUUUUUUUUCACCUCAGAGGAUUCAUAAAUGUGUCUCCAUGUUUUCUCCUUAUUAGGAAUGAAGUGAGCCUCAAAUUCCUAUAAUCUCCUCAUUCCUGACUAACCUCCUUCGAGCCUUGGUGAAAAAUCGUAACAAUUUUUACAGAAGGUAAAGUCACCCUGGUAGAAUUUUCCACUCGAGUGCCGAGCCGUGCACAGCUGUUUUUAGCCGCUCUGGCAACCUCCCUGCUCUGUGAGACUCCAGUGUCUUCAGUCCCAUGAAUCAGGCAAAAAAACGAGGCAAAGGAUGGGAUUUAAGGCUCUCCUUGUUUUCUGCUCUGAAGCCAUAAAAGGGAAGUUUAGGACAGGAGGGGAAAUGACAUCAAGGACACGGCAGGACUGGGCAGGAACAGACGGACAAUGAUAGGUCACCAUGCAUAAAAUGUGUGUCCUAAGAGUGGAGACCUUGACUUGGUCUGAAGGUCACAGGGCCCAGCACAGCCGAAUGUGUAGUACAGCUAGAAGCAGCUCGGUCUUUUUCCAAUGCGGGUGCAGUGCUUUUAGCUUGUUCCUGAACUUUCUCCCCUUAGAGCAGCCUCUUCCUUGUGCUCAGUGCUCACUGCUGAGCUUUCCCAGCGGCGUCUGUGUGUGCUGACCGGCUGGCAGGCGGAAGAUCAGUCGGUGUUCUGGACCGUACGCCUCUGGCUUAAAGAGCUUUGUCUGUAUAUAUUGGUUGUUGCUCAUAUUUUUUGCAAGUACCAGACGAAUGAUUGUUUUCAGUAGAUGUCACAGGGUAAAAAACAGUGGGAAAGUAUUCCCUUAAUAUACCAUCCCACGUGAGACCCUAGAUUUCAGAAUCUCAGGGAGCCAACUUUCCAUUUGCUGUAAAAUGCCAGGAAGAGCUGAAUCUGGUAACAAGGCACAGAUCUUGAGGCAGCAUCAUUGUCCUAUGUUCAUUCUAUAAAAUGGGGGAUAUUUCCACAUUCUAGACGGCCCCUACAUUGGCAGUUUUGUGGAUGUCGAUAAUGUACCUUUUCUCAAAGAUGGAAUACUCCAGAACAAAUGCUUUCUCCACUUAACACUGAUGCUUCAUGGAUUGAGUCAUUUAAGCCUCACAGAAAUCCUCUGACUGAAGGGCACCCAGGUGGUGCAGUCAGUUAAGCAUCUGACUCUUGGUUUUGGCUCAGGUCAUGAUCACAGGGUCCUGGAAUGGAGCCUCGCAUCAGGGUCCCGCACUCAGCGGAGUCUGCUUGGGAUUCUCUGCCCCUUCCCCCACUCUUGUGUGUUUCUCUCUCUCUUUAUUAACAUAUAAUGUAUUAUUUGCUUCAGGGGUACAGGUCUGUGAAUCAUCAGUCUUACACAGUUCACAACACCCGCCAUAGCACAUACCCUCCCCAAUGUCCAUGACCCAGCCACCCUAACCCUACCCCUCAACCCCCAGCAACCCUCAGUUAUUCUCUCUCUCUUAAAUAACUAAAUCUUUUUUUAAAAAAAGGUAAACCUCUGAAGGGGGUAGAUAUUAUCACCUUCAAUUUGCAGGUGCAGAAACUGAGACUCCAGAAGGUAAAAUGACUUAAUUUCUAGGUUUGGGGAUGCCUGGGUGGCUCAGUCAGGGAAGCAUCUGCCUUUGGCUCCAGACAUGAUCCCAGGUCCUGGAAUGGAGCCCUGCAUGGGGCUCCCUGCUCAGCCGGAAGCCUGCUUCUCCCUCUCCCACUCCCCCUGUUUGUGUUCCCUCUCUCACUGUCAAAUAAAUAAAGUCUAUAAGAAAAACCCUAAAACUCUAGGUUUGUGUGAUCUCUGCUUCAUUGUCUGUCUAAUCCUCCAGGCUGCCCUGCAGAAGUUCCCACAGCUUAAGCAGUGCAUAUAAUAGAAACAUGACUCUGGGGGAAAAAAAGAGAGAGAGAGAAACCCCAAAACAGACUCUUAACUCCUCUUAACUCUAGAGAGCAAACUGAUGGUUCCCAGGGGGGCAGGGGAUGGGUGGAAUGGGUAAAGGGGAUUAAGUGGGCACUGGUCCUGAUGAGCCCUGAGUAACAGAUGGAAUUGUUGUAUCGCUACAUUGUGUCCCUGAAGCUAAUACAACACUGGACACGAACUAUACUGCAAUUAAAAUUUAAAACGUUAAAAUUUUUUAAAAAAGAAGAAAACAUGACUCUGAUCUCAGUGAGUUUUUUUUUUUUUUAAGAUUUUAUUCAUUUAUUUGACAGAGAGAGAUCACAAGUAGGCAGAGAGGCAGACAGAGAGAGAGGAGGAAGCAGGCUCCCUGCGGAGCAGAGAGCCCCAUGCGGGGCUUGAUCCCAGGACCCUGGGAUCAUGACCUGAGCCGAAGGCAGAGGCUUUAAGCCACUGAGCCACCCAGGCGCCCCUCUCAGUGCUUUCUGAACACCGAUGACUGAUUGAACUUGACACAGAAAAAAGAAAUGCUGGAGAGAAGGAAUGCCUGUGUCUCAUUGGAAGUGAAGCCAGACCCCCUUUCCUUCUCAUGGUCUCUCCAUGGAGCCCAUCUGGGUUCUGUGCCAUUCCUGGGCCUGCCUGAUGGGGCCCAGGAUGGCACGGUGACUCCCAUUCCAGUCCUAGGUCAUGCUGAGUGACCCUGGGCUGGGAGGUCCUGGAGUCUCAAUGCCUCAUUGAGCAGACAGGGGUGAUCGCCCCGGAUGCCAGCUAUCAGCUUUGUCAUUCACACCUGCUGCUUGUCCAUGCGGCACCUUCUCCAACCACAUCAGCUCCUGGUGACAAGUGCCAUAAGGGCAGGCACUCAGAUCUGUGCUGAUGAGCACAGAGGGUUUUUGAAUGUUUGACCUCCUGUUCUGUUUUCUCUUGACUCCUUUUCUUCUGGACAUUACUCACUGGCAGGCAAGAGAGGUGGCCGGUUGGGUCGUGGCCCAAGGUGGCUUGGUGUCAGGAACCAGACUGGAGUCUUUCUUAGCAGUCUGAUGGUUUGAGGAAGAAGUGAGUGCACUCUUGAAUGUGUCUGCAGAGUAUUUGAUCACUCUGGAUAAAAUCCCAUAAAUAUUAGUCAUUCCAGGAUGCCUGAUCUUAACUUACCUAGAAAACUCACCUCGCAGAGUUUACCCAGGAGAAGGACCAUGACUCAUUUCAUUCAUUCAUUCUUCGUUCAUUCAUUCAUUUGUUUUUGGUGAAGAAUUGAAUAACAUGGGAAAAUGCACAGAUCAAGAAUGUUCACCCACUGAACAUACCCAAAUAACAACCAUCAAGACAAAGAACAUGACCCAUCUCCCCAUCAUUACCCCAAUGUCUAAGACCAUAAUGUCUUAUUUAUGUCUAAUUUAUGUCUAAUUUAUUUAUGUGUAAUUUAUGUCUAAUUUAUGUCUAAGACCAUAAAUUACUUUUACCUGUUUUUGUCCUUUAAAAUACAUGGAAAUAAACAGCAUGUACUCUUUUA